GUGAACGCUGGCGGUAGGCCUAACACAUGCAAGUCGAACGGCAGCACAGUAAGAGCUUGCUCUUACGGGUGGCGAGUGGCGGACGGGUGAGGAAUACAUCGGAAUCUACUUUUUCGUGGGGGAUAACGUAGGGAAACUUACGCUAAUACCGCAUACGACCUACGGGUGAAAGCAGGGGAACUUCGGACCUUGCGCGAUUGAAUGAGCCGAUGUCGGAUUAGCUAGUUGGCGGGGUAAAGGCCCACCAAGGCGACGAUCCGUAGCUGGUCUGAGAGGAUGAUCAGCCACACUGGAACUGAGACACGGUCCAGACUCCUACGGGAGGCAGCAGUGGGGAAUAUUGGACAAUGGGCGCAAGCCUGAUCCAGCCAUACCGCGUGGGUGAAGAAGGCCUUCGGGUUGUAAAGCCCUUUUGUUGGGAAAGAAAAGCAGCAGGUUAAUACCCCGCUGUUCUGACGGUACCCAAAGAAUAAGCACCGGCUAACUUCGUG
rnacentral:rRNA from 1 species